AUGAACGCUGGCGGCGUGCCUAAUACAUGCAAGUCGAGCGAACAGACGAGGAGCUUGCUCCUCUGACGUUAGCGGCGGACGGGUGAGUAACACGUGGAUAACCUACCUAUAAGACUGGGAUAACUUCGGGAAACCGGAGCUAAUACCGGAUAAUAUAUUGAACCGCAUGGUUCAAUAGUGAAAGACGGUUUUGCUGUCACUUAUAGAUGGAUCAGCGCCGCAUUAGCUAGUUGGUAAGGUAACGGCUUACCAAGGCAACGAUGCGUAGCCGACCGGAGAGGGUGAUCGGCCACACGGGAACUGAGACACGGUCCAGACUCCUACGGGAGGCAGCAGUAGGGAAUCUUCCGCAAUGGGCGAAAGCCUGACGGAGCAACGCCGCGUGAGUGAUGAAGGUCUUCGGAUCGUAAAACUCUGUUAUUAGGGAAGAACAAAUGUGUAAGUAACUAUGCACGUCUUGACGGUACCUAAUCAGAAAGCCACGGCUAACUACGUG
rnacentral:rRNA from 1 species